rnacentral:snRNA from 1 species
GGAUGUGAGGGCAAUCUGGCUGCGACAUCUGUCAUCCCAUUCAUCACCAGGGUUGAUUCAGCUGAUCUGGCUGGCUAGGCAGGUGUCCCCUUCUUCCCUCACCACUCCAUGUGCGUCCCUCCCAAAGCUGCGCACUGAGGACGGCCUUCCCGGAAAAGAGACGGACCAGUUUUCGGUCAAGGGUAUAAGAGUAGCUGCUCUCCCCUGCUAGAACCUCCAAACAAACUCAAAAAUAUAUUCUUGCCUUUAGGUUCCUGAUUACUUAACAAUUUUUUUUCUGCUUUAUAUCUUAA